rnacentral:rRNA from 1 species
CCUACGGGAGGCAGCAGUGGGGAAUUUUGGACAAUGGGCGCAAGCCUGAUCCAGCAAUGCCGCGUGCAGGAUGAAGGCCUUCGGGUUGUAAACUGCUUUUGUACGGAGCGAAAAGGUUCCCUCUAAUACAGGGGGCUCAUGACGGUACCGUAAGAAUAAGCACCGGCUAACUACGUGCCAGCAGCCGCGGUAAUACGUAGGGUGCGAGCGUUAAUCGGAAUUACUGGGCGUAAAGCGUGCGCAGGCGGUUCUAUAAGACAGUUGUGAAAUCCCCGGGCUCAACCUGGGAAUUGCAUCUGUGACUGUAGAGCUAGAGUACGGCAGAGGGGGAUGGAAUUCCGCGUGUAGCAGUGAAAUGCGUAGAUAUGCGGAGGAACACCGAUGGCGAAGGCAAUCCCCUGGGCCUGUACUGACGCUCAUGCACGAAAGCGUGGGGAGCAAACAGGAUUAGAUACCCUGGUAGUCCACGCCCUAAACGAUGUCAACUGGUUGUUGGGAAUUUACUUUCUCAGUAACGAAGCUAACGCGUGAAGUUGACCGCCUGGGGAGUACGGCCGCAAGGUUGAAACGUCAAAGGAAUUGACGG